rnacentral:rRNA from 1 species
GACGAACGCUGGCGGCGUGCUUAACACAUGCAAGUCGAACGGAAAGGCCCUGCUUUUGUGGGGUGCUCGAGUGGCGAACGGGUGAGUAACACGUGAGUAACCUGCCCUUGACUUUGGGAUAACUUCAGGAAACUGGGGCUAAUACCGGAUAGGAGCUCCUGCUGCAUGGUGGGGGUUGGAAAGUUUCGGCGGUUGGGGAUGGACUCGCGGCUUAUCAGCUUGUUGGUGGGGUAGUGGCGUACCAAGGCUUUGACGGGUAGCCGGCCUGAGAGGGUGACCGGCCACCUUGGGACUGAGGUACGGCCCAGUCUCCUACGGGAGGCAGCAGUGGGGAAUAUUGCACAGUGGGCGGACGCCUGAUGCAGCAGCGCCGCGUGCGGGAUGACGGCCUUCGGGUUGUAAACCGCUUUCGCCUGUGACGAAGCGUGAGUGACGGUAAUGGGUAAAGAAGCACCGGCUAACUACGUG